rnacentral:rRNA from 1 species
GUCUAUGGCCAUGUCACCCUGAACAAGCCUGAUGUCUGAUCUCAUGAAGCUAAGCAGGGUCAGGCCUGGUUAGUACUUGGAUGGGAGACCACCUUGGAAUACCAGGUGCUGUAGGCG